AGUGAACGCUGGCGGUAGGCCUAACACGUGCAAGUCGAACGGCAGCACAGUAAGAGCUUGCUCUUACGGGUGGUGAGUGGCGGACGGGUGAGGAAUACAUCGGAAUCUACUUUUUCGUGGGGGAUAACGUAGGGAAACUUACGCUAAUACCGCAUACGACCUACGGGUGAAAGCAGGGGAUCUUCGGACCUUGCGCGAUUGAAUGAGCCGAUGUCGGAUUAGCUAGUUGGCGGGGUAAAGGCCCACCAAGGCGACGAUCCGUAGCUGGUCUGAGAGGAUGAUCAGCCACACUGGAACUGAGACACGGUCCAGACUCCUACGGGAGGCAGCAGUGGGGAAUAUUGGACAAUGGGCGCAAGCCUGAUCCAGCCAUACCGCGUGGGUGAAGAAGGCCUUCGGGUUGUAAAGCCCUUUUGUUGGGAAAGAAAAGCAGCAGGUUAAUACCCCGCUGUUCUGACGGUACCCAAAGAAUAAGCACCGGCUAACUUCGUG
rnacentral:rRNA from 1 species